rnacentral:tRNA from 1 species
GACUUAAAAUCCGUCGGUUUUUUUAGACCUUGAGGGUUCAAGUCCCUCUAUUCCCCA